GACGAACGCUGGCGGCGUGCUUAACACAUGCAAGUCGAACGGUGAAGCGCCUUCCUUUUUGGUGGGUGUGGAUGAGUGGCGAACGGGUGAGUAACACGUGAGUAACCUGCCCCCUUCUUCUGGAUAACCGCAUGAAAGUGUGGCUAAUACGGGAUAUUCUGGGUCUGUCGCAUGAUGGGUCUGGGAAAGAUAUUGUUUCGGUGGGGGAUGGGCUCGCGGCCUAUCAGCUUGUUGGUGGGGUGAUGGCCUACCAAGGCGGUGACGGGUAGCCGGCCCGAGAGGGUGGACGGUCACACUGGGACUGAGACACGGCCCAGACUCCUACGGGAGGCAGCAGUGGGGAAUAUUGCACAAUGGGCGCAAGCCUGAUGCAGCGACGCCGCGUGAGGGAUGGAGGCCUGCGGGUUGUGAACCUCUUUCGCCAGUGAAGCAGGCCUGCCUCGUUUGUGGGUGGGUUGACGGUAGCUGGAGAAGAAGCGCCGGCUAACUACGUG
rnacentral:rRNA from 1 species